AUUGAACGCUGGCGGCGUGCCUAACACAUGCAAGUCGUGCGUGAAAGGGCUUCGGCCUGAGUAAAGCGGCGCACGGGUGAGUAACGCGUGGAUGAUCUGCCCAUGAGUUGGGAAUAACGGCUGGAAACGGUCGCUAAUACCGAAUACGCUCCGAUUUCAUAGUUCGGGGGAAAGGUGGCCUCUGCUUGCAAGCUACCGCUCAUGGAUGAGUCCGCGUCCCAUUAGCUUGUUGGCGGGGUAAUGGCCCACCAAGGCGACGAUGGGUAGCCGACCUGAGAGGGUGAUCGGCCACACUGGGACUGGAACACGGCCCAGACUCCUACGGGAGGCAGCAGUGGGGAAUAUUGCGCAAUGGGCGAAAGCCUGACGCAGCGACGCCGCGUGAGGGAUGAAGGCCUUCGGGUCGUAAACCUCUGUCAGGAGGGAAGAACCGCCAUGGUGCUAAUCAGCCAUGGUCUGACGGUACCUCCAAAGGAAGCACCGGCUAACUCCGUGCCAGCAGCCGCGGUAAUACGGAGGGUGCAAGCGUUAAUCGGAAUCACUGGGCGUAAAGCGCACGUAGGCUGUUUGGUAAGUCAGGGGUGAAAUCCCGCAGCUCAACUGCGGGAUUGCCCUUGAUACUGCUGGACUUGAGUUCGGGAGAGGGUG
rnacentral:rRNA from 2 species